GGUCAAGAAAACUUGCAAGAAAAACUGUUUUAUAUUUUUUGUAUUUUUACUGAAAGGAAGAUUGUUUCUUUUCCUGGUAGUGUCGUCAGGUAUAUUUCUGAUCUUUGGUGAGUAAAUUUAAUGAGCGAGAAUGUCUAGAUGUGCUAAGAUUAUUAAUUUAUAAUCGAAUGUCUGAGAUACCAGACACAUACUGUAUUUUCCAGUACAUAUGAGUUUUUUAUAGUAUAGAUAAGUAAUAGAUUUGGCCACUGUGUGACAUCAAAUUAUUAAUACUGUAGAAAUGUUUCUUUAUGAAAUAUUAUUAAUACUAAUAAUAAAUAUAGCUUUCCCUUUUAUACAUCCCUUGGGCCUCUUCAUGUUUUGUGGGGCUUCCUGUUACAUAAUACGCCUUUUCUUCAUCUUACCAAGUGGGGCAAACACAGAAUAACAUUACCAUUUCCCUAGGGACAAGUAUUAAAUAUUUAUGCCAAGUUGAUGCAUAUGUAAUAUUUGCACAACUGAUAAACAUAAAUAUAAUACAACGUAUUGUUUCUUCUAGAAAUCAGUUUGGUGUGUGCCAAACUGAUGUAAAAACAUAUCCUUCUUGUAUGCCGAAUAUAUUUGUUGCAACACCCCAACUUUCCACCAUGGCUAAUUGUUAAUUUAAAUUUCGGGCAAAAAUUAUCAACCCUCAGCGGGCCUCAGGGCUUGAAAUAACGUUCCCAAAGUUCCCGAUCAUGGUGAUCACAGGCCUUAAAAUGUAUUUUACAGGGCCGUCUGACAAAAUGUCCGAUGACGUUGAGUUUGGGUCGGACAUAUAUCAGAUGACCUUCAGUUCAGUUUUGACUCGGAAAUAAUUAGUCUGAAUACAGGGGUUUCAGAAUAAGCCGGCGACCGGCGGAGUUCCGCCGGCUACUUGAACUUUUACCGCUGGCUACUUUUCGUCUGGUCACAGGGAAAACUUAUAUACAAAGGUACAAGCAAACCAACACGAUGUUUGUUAUAUUCCAAUUGGAAUUCAAGCAAAACAUCACUUAUUUUGGAAGAUCAAUAAGAUCAAUAAUAUAUAGUACCAAACAUAGCUUGCUUUCCAAGACUAAGACUAAGAUAACUCUGAUUGACUCUGACAGUGACUUAAGCAUUAAUUGCCAUUGGGGAAUCCAAAUUUGACAGUGAGCCAGAGAACCUUCAGAGCCACUUUGGUAAAUGUUUUUGGCAACUAAGUGACUAAUUCUUUGACAACGAAUUAAUUAUAAUGAUAAUGUGAUGAAGUAAAAAAUUCUGGGCCGUAGCGAGGGGGGUUUAGCCCCCCCCCCCAACUUUUUUAGAAUUAACAUAUUCCGAAAAUCUGGUUGGCCAUUUGGAAAAUUACGGCAAUAAUAGUAUAACAAACUUUUAGUUGUUAAACAGAGAAAAUAUAAUAAUUGUAUUGUCAGUAUAAACUGAUUUACGAAAUCCGGCAUAGCAUUUACAUGGAUAUUAACAUUUAACAAAUCGUAAAUCGGUAAAUAUGCAUGCAUACCUUUAUCAUUUAAAUAAUAUACCUUUAAAAUACUGACAAUUGAUUAAUUUUAAGCGGCUACAUUAUCCAUGACAAACUGCAAAGAAUCAUGAUAUUACCCAUACUUUCCUGCAACUUCUCCAUGCAUAGGCGUACCGGGCGGGGGGGGGGCGGUAGCCCCCCCAGUUUUUUGGGCAGUCGGGCAAUAUUCGAUCAACAGUCGGGCAAUUUUGGCUUGCAAUAAAAAAAUGGGACAAAUUCUGUCAAUUUUGUCUAAAAUUAAGUCAAUUUUUUGGCAAAUUUUGCGAUUUUUCGAAAAUUUGUGUUAUGUUCCGAAAAAAAUUGGUUGUCCGGAAAAAUUUUUUGACCCCUAAAAUGGUACACUGACCGAAAUUUUUUUGGCGACAGGGGGGGGGGAUUUUUUGAUACUAGUCGGGCAGAAUUCGAAAAGUUGGGCAAUUUUCUUUCCGCCCCCCUAAUUUUUUCCUUCCGGUACGCCCAUGUCUCCAUGCAAUAUAUAGUUAAUUACAUACGCCUUCGCCCAUUUAGUACUACUAAAUUGUAAACAAAUUGUAAAUUUCGACAUACUAAUUAAAAACGCUGUUUUCUGACCAUCAGAAUUCUGUUCUAAACUUCCCCAAAGUCCAGGAAAUGGAAUUUCAGAGACUCUAAAUUAAAAAAUUUCCUCGAGCCUUCGGCCCUCGUUCUCAGCCCCUAAUCAAAAAGAGCUUCCUACAGCACUGCAUGCUACUCAGCUACUGUAAUAUGUCUGUGCGUAGAUAUGCAUAUUUUUGUUUGUAAAUUGCAUCUUCAUUUUCCGGACAGCAAACACUUUGAUUCGUGAUUAAACUACAAGUAGCACAUUAAGGUGGCUCGAUACAGUUUUCAGAAAUUCAGGUGUUUAACACUUUGACAUGUUCAAACUACGCAUUUUUAGGAUUUAUUCGGCAGAUAUUGGGUUUUUUAUAUAUUUUGAUAUCUCUACUUUCAAAUUAUACUAGUUAUAGUAACAGAUAGUUCGUUGCUAUGACGACAUACGUGUACGAAAUUCACUCCAAAAUGGCCUCUCUUCUCGUAUAGUUGGGAAAAAAGCUUGGUGACCCCCAAUUUUUUUUCUUGCAUUAUUUUACUUAGACGAAAAGCUAACAAUUAGCAAAAAAUAAAAAAAUUCUGUAAUGCCAUUUUUUUGGAAAAUGCGAAAAUGUCAUAUUCUUCUGUAAAUUUUUUUUGGCAUUACAGAAUUUUUUUAUUUUUUGUAGGAUGAAAGUUUUUAGCGAUGCAAUACCACAGGGGGCCCCACUAUGAGUUAUGAUUGAAAUAAUAUUGUAUUUAUUUUUAAAAACCUGUACUUGAAUCCCUUGAUAAUCGAUUAUUUCUUCUCUCGAAAUUCUGUAAACAUUUUAAACUGCUUGGAGUCAUUAUACUAUCACUCUACAUGAAGUAUAGAUGAUCGAUAGUAUAAUGACUCCAAGCAGUUUAAAAUGUUUACAGAAUUUCGAGAGAAGAAAUAAUCGAUUAUCAAGGGAUUCAAGUAAGUUUUUAAAAAUAAAUACAAUAUUAUUUCAGUCAUAACUCAUAGUGGGGCCCCCUGUGGCAAUACUGCAUGCAAAAUUUGAACAUAGGUCACCAGACAAAAUAAAGAGAUAUAGCGCAUUGUUUUUCUAAAAUGGAAAAUUCUAAUGACGUCAGCAAUUGAUAUAAAACGCUAUAGAACACGCGCAAUGGCCUGAUAUGGCGUGAGCAACUGCUCACGUCAAGUCAUUUUGGAAGUUCUUUCAUUUUGUUAAUCAGUUUCCGCGACCUGCGCGUAAAAAUUGUUACCCGGUUUUGAGUUUCCAUGCGAGGGCACGCCCCUCCCCCCUCCCUGCGCGUUUUUUUAACUAUCAGUGUCAGCCGGCUACAACCGCUUACUUUUGGUACAACCGCUUACUUCAAAUCAUUCUGAAACCCCUAUGAAUGCCGACAUAAAUGAAUAUCAGCAGAAUGUAUUAAUUCUGAACGGUAAAUGUUUGUGAAGAUAUCAAAUAAUUUGUUUCUUUCAUACUUAUUUCCAAGCCAAAAUUAACUUGCUUUCCAGAACAGCAGAGUAAAAGACUUAGACAACUUAAGCCCGUUUUCCACUUUACCAUGCAUUUCGCUCCCUGCCCCGCGCUCGACUAUUAACUACGUUAAAACAAAUUUCCAGUUCACCUUUUAUACAAUAGUACUCUGAUUUUCCAUUUAACAUACGAGCCUGAGAUAGGGUACAUUUUGAUUUACGUUGGACAAAGCUACAUUUUGGUCGGACACAAAUACGCUCAGGUCGGACAAAAAUAAACCUCACCGCUCACUUUGGUCAGACAGAAUGUCUCAGACUGGUGGUUUCCUCUCUACGUCGGACAAUUUCACGAUUGGGUCGGACAAUGUCCGUGACCGACCGAUAUUUUAAGGCCUGGGUGAUCGGCAGUAAUGACUUUCCCUGCUUUUUCAGGUUGGAAACCAUGCUUUUCUGCCGAUCAUAAGCAAUUUCUUACCGAUCGGUGAUCGGCUGUUAUUUCAAGCCCUGAACCCUAUUGAUUCCAUUAGACCAUUGAGAACUACUAAAACUGCUAUGAAUUUGUUCCCUUUGAAAUAAACAGUAUUUUUAAUUUUGUUUCUUUUAAUUUAUGAAGCAGUUAAGGACUGUUCACAUGAUCCUGCUUUACCGGGACAAGAUGUAUGAGGCAGAUGAUUUUGAUGUAUUAAAAUAAGUCAAACUGCAUGAUUCUGCAAAAUUACAUAAUUUUCAGCAAUAGAAUAUAGUAUAAUUGUAAAGGAAAGGUUGUUCAAGCAGCAAUAAUAAUCUUGAAGUUCUUGAACUGUGAGAUCUAAUUCUCUACAACAUUUGGGUUAUUUUAACUUGUGUUUGAAUUAAAUACACCAAGAUCAUCCCACCUUCCAUGCCGGCAAACCGGGAUAAUGCAAUGUACAGUAAACAGCCCCUUAGAAUCUAAAACAGCAUUUAGUGGAUGCUUGAUCCUCUAUUUAAGUCCUGUUUGCACUACGCUCAAUUUUUGGUGUAUGGCACAGAUAAAAUUGGAACCCAUACCAAAUUUAUCCAUGCUCAGCCUUUGUAAAUCUAUAAUAUACAGUAUACUGUAGGUAGUCUGAGCACGGAUAAAAAUGGUAUGUGUACCAAAAUUAAAUUAUAAGUGUAAAUAUUCGAUUUUUCGGAUACCGAAAAUACCAAAAAAAUAUCGAAAGUUUUAUCGAAAUUAUUUCCUGGUAAACUCUAGAAAACACGCGCAAAUAGUAAAUAAAUGUUGAAGUUUUUAACAUUCAUAAAUGACCAUAUUGUAGUAUUAGAUAAACUUCUGGUAUUCGAUUAGUUUCACGCAACUUUUUUUCUGUUUUUGACGCGGUAUACCAUUUAUUUUGCUGUUUGUGAUGCGGUAUAUAAACCCGCAUAUUUAUUGAACUACACAGUCGGAUAUUUUUUUCGAAAUCGAAAUUUUCCAAUCAUACCGCAACUGCGCAACAGCCUAGUAUGUACAUGUUGCUUUUUAUAUUCUAUGACUAUGUUAAUAUACUCUACGCAUACCAUGCAAAAAAGUACUGGGGUCUGGGGCCGGUUGUAUAAAAAAGUGAUUAACUGUUAACUAUAGUUAGUGGAAAUGUCAUCCAAUAAGAAGCGCGUAUUUGAGAGUUAAUCACUAUUUAACUACAAAACAGCGAUUAAAAAAGUGAUUAAGAGUUUCAGUGCUGGAAAAUGUCCGGCAGCGCCAGCAGCACCGCUGCCAGGAAAUGUUUAACAAAAUAUCUUAGCAGGAAAUUUUCUUGCACCUUGCAGGAUAUUUUUGUUAUCUUGUAUACAGGAAUGCCAUAUAAUGCACUUUAAAAUCAUAUUACAUUGAUUACACAAUUACUAGAUAUUACUAGAUUACACAAAAAAAAUCAUAUUACUAGAUUACAUUGGUAUCGAAGGAACUAGAUUCUGUUCCGAAAUAUCACUUACUCGAACCGUCCUGACCGCGUAGCUCAGUUGGCAGAGCAUUGGGCUAGCAUUCCAAAGGUCGUAGGUUCGAUUCCCACCGUGGCCGGGCAUAUUUUUCAAGCUCGCUCGGUGUGGAUAUACACUCAGAGUAACAUCACAAACAUCAUAUUAUUCACCUGAGUACUCAACACCAACACAGAAAGAAAAAGAAAAUCAUAAUUCACUUAUUGUUUGAAAAUUCCAAUUCGAGCAUUUUGCAAGUCGAGAUGUGCGGUAUCAUAGUCCACACGUUCUCUGAAAUUUACAUAUGCAGGACGUUUUAUGUAGUUGACUUACACAGGAAAUUUUAAUUUUUGAAUUUUGCUGCCAGGAAGAUACAUAUAUUUUCUAGGCCUGAAGAGAUUUAUACAACCGGCCCCUGACUGCAUGUCAAAUACUAAGAAAUGCUUAUUUUAUUUUAUUUUACAGCAUUUGAAUUUUGGAACAAUAAAAGUUAAAAUGUCUGGUAAAGUAAUACCAGUAAAAGUUGCGUUGAGGAUCCGACCACUCAUCAGUAAAGAAAUUAACGAUGGGUGUCGUGAGUGCCUUGAAGUUCUUCCAAAGGAACCACAAGUUAUAAUCGGAAGUGAUAAACCUUUCACAUUCGAUUAUGUGUUUGCUUCCACUUGUCAACAAGAAGAUCUGUACAACCAAGUGGUGGAGCCAUUGAUGGACACAUAUUUCAACGGCUACAACGUCACCAUAUUAGCAUACGGUCAAACAGGGUCCGGUAAGACAUAUUCUAUGGGUACAUGUGCAACAAUAAACACAUCAAAUGUUGACGAUGAGAUGAAUAAUGCUGUCAUUCCAAGAGUGAUUAAAGAAAUAUUUUCAAGAAUUGAAAAUCAAAAAGAAAAAUAUGAUUUUUUGGUGAAGGUUUCCUUUCUUGAG